ACUAUAACGUAAUAUUUUAUGCUGCGUAAUAGACUGUUUUGUCGACAGCGCCAUUUCCGGUUGGCGCUCGACAUCACGCACACGCAAACUCCCGUUUGCAGUUCACUUCACUUCAUAAAUGUUCGAUCUCUUUCAACUACGUCGAGGCUUGUGCUUUCUGGGAUUACGCUUUUCGACAUGGCUCUGAGCGUUGCGCUACCUCUGGCUGGCUUGGAGACAGAUAAUUUUAACUCGUUCAGCUCGUUCGGGCAUAUAAUCGAGAUAGCGGGCCUGUCUCAGUCGCAGUCAAGCCCCAGCCCGUCCGUCUCCAGUGAAUCUAGCGGUAUCGGUUCGCUGGGAUCGCUCAAGUCGGAAUCGGUGAACAGUGACUCCCUGCCAUCUAGUCCUCAGACAACAGAGAAGAAAAUAUUUGAACCGGUUGUGCAACCGCAGCCACGUCCAAAAGAAAAAAGCCGAAGACGUAAAAAUUGCAUAUGGAGGACGAGACAUCCUCAAUCUGAUGGCAAAUCUCACUGAUCCUCGGUGGAGCUAUCGCGCCACCGUGCUGCCGCCAAACAACCCCGCGCUGUUCUUCGCCAACCGCUCCCAGUACCACAGGCUGGGCCCGUACGGAACUCGCACGCAGUACGUAAAGGACACUUGUCGCUUAUGCGGAUUCACAUGGGUCGUAGCUGCCACGGAUUGACGUGACUAUGUGUCAGCAUAAACUUUGAACAAACGAACGUUGAAUGGGUACGACUGGGACACAUCAGGGUGCAUAUCAACUUCUUCGACUCUCAUUGUCACUUAAUGGUGCUUGUAAUAACCAUUAUCUAGUAAGCCAAUGGCUUUAGUUCACUCAAUAGUUAGCUCGAUAAAUUUGUGAUGACCUGCCGUGUUUUCUGUACAUGAUGGGUAUGUUUUGCAAUUGGUAAAUGUUUUGUUGAUCAUAUUUAUUUAAACUACCUUUUAUGAAGUUUUAUACAUUUUUCUACUAAUUUAUAUUAAGAUUAGUAUAAAAUCUUAUAAACUGUGAUUUGUUGUAUUAUAAGAAAUUUUAAUAGUUUUUAUUUUUGACGAACUAAAGCCAGUGGUUUUGUGACAUUUUCCUAAACGUAGUUUGUGCGUCUGCUCGCCUGCUGUGGCCCAGUUCUACGGAUGACUGUGGAAUAUGUAUGUGGCUAUCGUCUCGCGCAUUCGUAGAGUUACAUUUUAAUCGUGACUUAAUACUGUGAUCUUAAUUUAAACAAGACAAUUUUUGACAAUUCUGUGAAUGUAAUGCGUGACGAUAAAAGACUUGUUUUUGUUUUAACUUAUUUGAUUGUGUGAUAAAGUUAGGCUUAAUUAACACUUAUGAACUUUGCAAUGCCAUAAAGAGUUUGCAGACUUAUUCCGUGACAGCAUUUUUAGGUUCCAUUUUAGAAAAAGAAAUUAUAUGCAAAAGACAAUUAUUGAUUGAAUCUGAAAGUGAAACUCCAACUCUAUUGAUGCAAUGAAAACUAAAAAGUUAGUAAUAUAUUAUGCUACAUUUAGUUCCUCUUAGAAAUGUUAAUAAUUUGUUAUCCAAAGAAUAUUAUAUUAACUAUAAAUUGUUGGUCUACACAAUUUAUAUUGAUUAGUAUAAAGUAUGGUUUAGUCUUUUUGACCAAUGGAUUUUAUAAUAUCCAAUUAAUUACUCUUGAAGCAAUAUUUAAAUUAUAGACAUUUACAAUGUCAUAAUGAGCUAAUACUUCCCACCAUUACAUGUAAUAGUUAUUAUUUAAAUAUUGUUUUAUAAAUUCUUUAGUUUCUAGAGAUAAUGAAUUAGAUAUAUUCCACAGUCAUUUAUCAAUAGGAUCGUCAUUGUUUAAACCAAAAGGCUGCUUCUCGGAUGUUAUUUAAAUUUACGAUUUUGACGAGAUAGGCACGAAUUUAAAGCCAAGCUGUAGGUUAAUUUAAGAUGUAAUUAUGAUUAUUGUUGGAUUUACCGUCCGAACAUUACAUAAUAAUAGUGAUGACAUAUAAUCUAGAUGAUACGAUCUUGACCCAUUUCUCUAAAAUCAAUUUCCUAUCAAUUCAAUGUGAAAGCUUGAACAACUCAUUUAAUUGUAUGACGAGCCCAUUUGAUACAUAGUCAAAAUGGGUUAUCAGUGCAUAUCAUCACAAAAUAAUUCAGUGAUUAGAUAUUGUAAGGUAUUAGUAGUUGUUAUGGACCGUUUUAAAACGUUCGAGUCAUUGAUAUGCCCAGAUGCUGGGUUUCUAGUGAAAUUAUAGUAAGUGUCGUUAACAGACUGGCAAUAUCUCUAUGUACGUGCAUAUAUAAAAUGUAAUAUUUGUGGUCUCUUAAUUUAGUCAAGAUAUUUAAUAGUGUGAGUCUCUUCAAUUACAUGUAAGUAAUGUGUAACAUACUAACUAUAAUGUGUAAUAAUUGAUACUGUCCUUUUGUGCAACUUUAGUUUUGCUAUGUUGUGAUCAGCUUUAAAUUGGAACUGGAGUAUUUGUACACAAUAAUGUUUGACAUAUUCCCCACAAAGUUAUUUUUAUAAAGAAAAAAAAAUGUUGAUAUGAGACAAUACAGUAUGUAGUUUUCAAAAUUUUCUUUAUAAUAUUGAUAUUGGAGUUCAUAAAGAUUUGGCAAAUUUUUGGAAGGGACCAACAUCCGUGAAUUGUUUUCCCUCAAUAAUAUUAUUGUUUCCAUUGACAAUAGCAAAAUUCACCUUCAAAACAGUAUUUGUUAUCGCAAUCUAAAUUUAUUUUGAAUUUUAUCAGUCGCUUUGUGUUGAGUCAUCACUAAAAUUAUUUCAGUUUUUAUAUCUAAAAUGGUUAACAGGCUAUGAACACAAAACUUAAGUGGCAAAACUAAUACAAAAUAUUUAUUUAUAUAUUUAUGAUUCAGUGGGUAAUGACUGAACAUAUAGCAUGGAUCUCAGAAUGCAGCUAACAAAAUACAUUCAUAAUGCCUCUGUGAGAAGCCACUUCUGAACAUCAUGUUAGCGAAUAAUGAAUUUGGAAUUUUAAUAAUAUUAAUGGUUCAGUUGUGUCUUUGCUUGCCUAGUGUGCUAUAUCCUCAGUCACACGCACUCACAAAUGGUUGUUAUUGGUUUAAUGAAAUCAAAUGUUGCAUUCAGAUUAUUUUUAGUUUUACUUAUUAAUAUGACAAAGCUGCAAUCGAAUGUAGUUCAAAGGAAAGUAUUUGGAGCGAUACGCACAGAUAUAUAGACUAGCUGUUGUUGUGAAUGUCUCCUAAGUUUAGUAUGUGAUUCCCUGCUGGCCACACGGCGCGUCUCUGCCCGCGACCGCGACAGGCCGAGGUGCGAUGCAAUAUUUGCAUUCCAGUUUUGUGUUUUUAAGUUAGCAGCCGAGGGUAGUAGUUGUUAAUGAUUAUUUAAUCCACAUUGCCAAAUAUUUUGGUUGUUGUGCUAUUUAUUUAACAAAAUUUUCUAAAAUAUCAAUUUAGUACCUUCCAUUUCUAAGUGUCUUCAAGUGAUUUUUUACAAUGUUUCAAUCAUUUCAAUUUUAUGCAUUUUAUUUUGUUUAGUCAAAUCAUAUACAUGAUAUUAUACAUAUUAUUUAUGUUGUAUUAUAUGUAUUGUUCAUUCAUACGAUAAAAUAUUUUUUCUGAUUGAACUGUAGUCAAAUGACAGUAUUUUUAUAACGAAAAUUGUAUAAGAAUGAAGGGUUUUUGCCUCGACGUCGCACCCGCCUCUGGCGGGACAACCCCCGAGCUCAAACACCGAGCACUCAUACACGGGUGUGAUGCUCUGCCAGAGGCGGCCGCGUCUCCAGUGGGUAUUACGUAUAUCUGAUAAGCAUUAUGUAGGUUUAGCAAAAUAGAAUUAACUCGGAGAUGAACUCCAAGUACCAAAACUUUAUUGGUUCAAUGUUGUUCUCGUAUUAUGGUGAUAUAGUGCGUCGCGCGCGGCGCAGAGCUCAAUAUUUUAGUAACCCUUAAGAAAAUUAAUACCUCUUUUGAAAAAAUAUAAUAUAUAUUAUAUAGUAUAUCCAAUCAAUGAUCACAUUAUGUAUUUCCCUGUUUAUUUUGAUGUGAUAUCAUAAAUGACUGAUCUGAAUUUAGUUUUUAAGUUGGUUAUUGAUAUGCAGUGCUAUUUCGAGAGUGUAAUUAAGAUUUAAUAUUGAAAGUGCCAAUGCUCGUAAUUUAAUCUUUAUGACUGUUCCUUUAUCGUAGCUAUUGAAGAGCUCGUCUUAGACGGGGCGCGCUCGGUACACCAUUUUCGACUUGAGUAUAAGCAAUCUUUCGUUAUCACUUAAGUUUCCAACUAUUAAUUUUAAAGGUACCACGUAACGUGCACAAUCUCAGUAAUGCUUGCAAUAUUAUGUAUAACAUGUGUUAUUCCUCACUUAUAAUUUAAUUCAGCGUAAUGUUAAGAGUACAAUAUGAAAUGAUGUUAUAUCAUUCUAGUAUCAAAAUUAGCCGAAGAUGUUAAUAUUAUUAUUAGUUAGGUAAAAUUUUAACAUAGCUUCAUAUAAUUGGGAUGUUUUAGUAAUUAGUAGUGUAUAAUUACGACGUAGUGGCAAACAAAAUGUCUCGUGAGUGAAGUGAAGUAUAAUGUGGCAAUAAUACUCGAUGUAAGCCCCUGCCAAGAGACUUGUACAGGGUCGCGCGCCGCCCGCAGUCGCGGCGGCCCGGCGCAUACACAAUUGAACGAUAGACACUAGGCGUUUAUUUGUUGUAAUUAUAAUAAUAGCCGUAGGUAUUUUAUUGUACUUAAAUAAUUAUUCUUGCGAUGCCUUAAUUCUGGUUGUCAAUUAGACAUGUCUCAGCUAGAGUGUUAUCAUUGUUUUUAUUUAUUUUAGUUUUUGCUGUUCCGGCUUCCUCCGUGAACUUCCAGUCCAGGCUGUUCUUUUAAAAUGAUUUUGAGGUCGAUUUAUUUUUACCUAAGUGUUCUUAUUAAAUGUUACCAAAAUGUUUUUAAUAAAAUAUUUUUAUAUGUAUAA
rnacentral:sRNA from 1 species